rnacentral:tRNA from 1 species
GGAGAGGUAGCUCAGUGGUUAGGAGCACUGGCUGCUCUUUCAGAGGACCUGGGUUUGAUUCUCAGCACCUCCG